rnacentral:rRNA from 1 species
UACGAAGGGGGGCUAGCGUUGCUCGGAAUUACUGGGCGUAAAGGGCGCGUAGGCGGCCUUGCAAGUCGGUUGGUGAAAGCCCGGGGCUCAACCCCGGAGGUGCGGCCGAGACUGCAGGGCUGGAGGCCGGAAGAGGAGGGUGGAAUACCCAGUGUAGAGGUGAAAUUCGUAGAUAUUGGGUGGAACACCGGUGGCGAAAGCGGCUCUCUGGUCCGGACCUGACGCUGAGGCGCGAAAGCGUGGGGAGCAAACAGG